rnacentral:rRNA from 1 species
AAAUGAAUUGACGGGGGCCCGCACAAGCGGUGGAGUAUGUGGUUUAAUUCGACGCUACGCGCAGAACCUUACCAACCUUUGACAUGGGAGUCACGAGAUUCAGAGAUGAGUUUCUUCAUUUAGUUGGACUCCACACAGGUGCUGCAUGGCUGUCGUCAGCUCGUGUCGUGAGAUGUUGGGUUAAGUCCCGCAACGAGCGCAACCCUCGCCUUUAGUUGCUACCAUUCAGUUGAGCACUCUAAAGGAACUGCCGGUGUAAGCCGGAGGAAGGUGGGGAUGACGUCAAGUCCUCAUGGCCCUUACAGGUUGGGCUACACACGUACUACAAUGGCAAUGACAGAGGGAAGCCAGCCCGCAAGGGUGCGCUGAUCCCAAAAAGUUGCCUCAGUUCGGAUUGUCCUCUGCAACUCGAGGGCAUGAAGUUGGAAUCGCUAGUAAUCGCGGAUCAGCAGGUCGCGGUGAAUACGUUCCCGGGCCUUGUACACACCGCCCGU